rnacentral:sRNA from 22 species
GUCCGAUGCGGUCACGGCUUCAUCGGCGAGUCCUUGUUAUACUUCAAGGGAGGGGCAAUCCUUCACUGUGGAAACGGUGUAAACACAUGAACAAUG